GAUGAACGCUGGCGGCGUGCCUAAUACAUGCAAGUCGAGCGAACAGACGAGGAGCUUGCUCCUCUGACGUUAGCGGCGGACGGGUGAGUAACACGUGGAUAACCUACCUAUAAGACUGGGAUAACUUCGGGAAACCGGAGCUAAUACCGGAUAAUAUAUUGAACCGCAUGGUUCAAUAGUGAAAGACGGUUUUGCUGUCACUUAUAGAUGGAUCCGCGCCGCAUUAGCUAGUUGGUAAGGUAACGGCUUACCAAGGCAACGAUGCGUAGCCGACCUGAGAGGGUGAUCGGCCACACUGGAACUGAGACACGGUCCAGACUCCUACGGGAGGCAGCAGUAGGGAAUCCUCCGCAAUGGGCGAAAGCCUGACGGAGCAACGCCGCGUGAGUGAUGAAGGUCUUCGGAUCGUAAAACUCUGUUAUUAGGGAAGAACAAAUGUGUAAGUAACUGUGCACGUCUUGACGGUACCUAAUCAGAAAGCCACGGCUAACUACGUG
rnacentral:rRNA from 1 species